ensembl:lncRNA LINC01997 long intergenic non-protein coding RNA 1997
UGACUAUAUCAGCACUCAUCCACAGAUGUCUUGAUACUUUUCCUGCAAGAGAAACACCUUGAGAUAACUCUACAAAACCAGGAUCAAAUUAUCACAAAAAAACUUCACAGAGUGAAGAAUGAAGGAAAAGAAAAAUGAUCACAAAUGGGUUUUUGUUUUAAUCAGGAAAUACGGUUAUACACAUCUACAAGCAAGGACUGGAUGUUCUAUGUCAUGGAUCUCCCAAAACCCCUGGCACCAUUGGUUGACGGUCCAAAGUAUUUGACUUGCUAAAGAAUCUUUCCCUCCUAGAAGCUUUGGUAUCAGGAUGAUGCUGGCCUCAUAAAAUGAGUUAGGGAGGAUUCCCUCUUUUUCUAUUGAUUGGAAUAGUUUCAGAAGGAAUGGUACCAGUUCCUCCUUGUACCUCCCGUAGAAUUCGGCUAUGAAUCCAUCUGGUCCUGGACUUUUUUUGGUUGUAUACAUAGGGUUUCACCACCAUGUUAGCCAUGCUCGUCUCCAACUCCUGACCUCAGGUGACCCUCCUGCCUCGGCCUCCCAAAGUGCUGGGAUUACAGACGUGAGCUACCGUGUCUGGCCUUCCUCAAAAAUUUAAUAUCAGAGUCUUCCAUUGAUUUCUAGGAUAACUGGCUAGCCAUAUGCAGAAGAUUGAAACAGGACCCCUUCUUUUCACCAUAAACAAAAAUCAACUCAAGAUGGAUUAAAGACUUAAAUGUUAGGCUCCAAACUAUAAAAAUCCUAGAAGAAAACCUAGGAAGUACCAUUCUGGACAUGGGCCUUGGAAGAGAUUUCAUGAUAAAGUCACCAAAAGCAAUUGCAACAAAAACAAAAAUUGACAAAUAGGACCAAACUAAUCUAAAGAUCUUCUGCACUG